UUUGUUAUUUUUAUGUAGUGUGCAAUGGAUUUAGAAUCCACCAAAUUAUUAUUGCCAUUUCCUAGAGAAAGUCCACAUUACUCAACUGGUGUAGAUGAACUUCUGGAGUUUGCAUAUAGAGAUAUACUUGUAGAUACAAUGUUAAUAGCAUGCCUCUACCACUUCUUGCAUCAUGUCAAUGCAUUGUGCGUUAACAGUUCAUUUGUGUUUUUUUGUAUGUAGAUUCAAAAGAUAAAUGGAAGAGAUUAUAUGGGUGCUUGGCAACUAUACUACAAUGAUGAUGAUGAUGUUCCAGUUCAUGAUGAUGAUGAUGAUGAUGAUGGAGGCUUUCAGUUUAUUUAAGUUGUAGGGAUGAUGUUCUUGUUAGAUGAUGUUCCUCAUUAAGUUUUAGAUAAGUUGUACGAAUGUUGAUGGAUGCCUUGAGUUUAAGUUUUGUUGUGAAGAAAACAUUUGGAUUACACAUCACAUUUGGAUGAUGUUCCUCAUGUAAUAUCACUACUGUAACCCAACAAUUUUAUCUAAUAUAUGAUUUCUUCCUCUC
rnacentral:lncRNA from 1 species